UCGCUCCUACCGAUUGAAUGAUCCGGUGAAAUCGGUGGACCAUGGUACUUCCUGAGCAAUCAGGUUGUAUUGUUGGAAAAUUGAUUAAACCUUAUCAUUUAGAGGAAGGAG
rnacentral:rRNA from 1 species